rnacentral:rRNA from 1 species
UACGUAGGGCGCAAGCGUUGUCCGGAAUUAUUGGGCGUAAAGAGCUCGUAGGUGGUGUGUCGCGUCUGCCGUGAAAGCCCGGGGCUUAACUCCGGGUCUGCGGUGGAUACGGGCAGACUAGAGGCAGGUAGGGGAGAACGGAAUUCCCGGUGUAGCGGUGAAAUGCGCAGAUAUCGGGAGGAACACCGGUGGCGAAGGCGGCGCUCUGGGCCGGUACUGACGCUGAGACGCGAAAGCGUGGGGAGCGAACAGG